rnacentral:tRNA from 1 species
UGGCUCAAUGGUUAAGAGCACUGGCUAUUCUCCCAGAGGACCUGGGUUCAAUUCCCAG